rnacentral:rRNA from 1 species
CCUACGGGAGGCAGCAGUGGGGGAUAUUGCACAAUGGGGGGAACCCUGAUGCAGCGACGCCGCGUGGGUGAAGAAGCGCCUCGGCGCGUAAAGCCCUGUCAGCAGGGAAGAAAAUGACGGUACCUGUAGAAGUAGCCCCGGCUAACUACGUGCCAGCAGCCGCGGUAAUACGGAGGGGGCAAGCGUUAACCGGAUUUACUGGGUGUACCGGUGGCGCAGACGGCGAUGCAAGACAGGAGUGAAAGCCCGGGGCCCAACCCCGGGACUGCUCUUGGAACUGCGUGGCUGGAGUGCAGGAGGGGCAGGCAGAAUUCCUGGUGUAGCGGUGAAAUGCGUAGAUAUCAGGAGGAACACCGGUGGCGAAGGCGGCCUGCUGGACUGCAACUGACGUUGAGGCCCGAAAGCGUGGGGAGCAAACAGGAUUAGAUACCCCAGUAGUC